rnacentral:rRNA from 1 species
AGUGAACGCUGGCGGCGUGCUUAACACAUGCAAGUCGAACGAAGUGGCGAACGGGUGAGUAAUACGUGAGUACCCUGCCCUCCUUUUUGGGAUAAGCCUUGGAAACGGGGUCUAAUACCGAAUAAAGGGGGAUGGGCUCGCGGCCUAUCGGCGUGUUGGUGGGGUGAUGGCCUACCAAGGCGGUGACGGGUAGCCGGCGUGAGAGGGUGAACGGCAACAUGGGGACGGGGAUACGGCCUAGACGACUACGGGAGGGGGAAGUGGGGGAUAUGGCACGAUGGGCGAACGACUGAUGCAGCGAGGCUGCGGAGGGGAUGAAGGCUUUCGAGUUGUAAACUUAUGUCGAUAGCGAACGGGUAGGUGGAGAAGAAGCGACGGCUAACUACGUGCCAGCAGCCGCGGUAAUUC